UUCGGAGUGACUUGCCUGCCCGUGAAGGUGUUUGGCCUGUGCGCUCGUCUCCUCUGUGGCUUUCUUGAGAGAGAAUUUGGUUUGUUUCUUCUAAACUACGAUGACUACACCCUUUACGCUGCUACCAAUAAUCUUGGUUGCUGUUUCCUCUUCGACUUUGGACUCCAAGCGUGAUGGCAGACAUUUGGCCAACCUACGUACCUCAUACACGACGAACCAGAGUGAAGAUUACCACUUCUGUAAAGUCGAAGACACAGUAGGAGCGUGUAUGAGGAACUCAAAGUGCCAUGGACAACAGGGCCUCUUCGCUGGGCACUGUGGCAAGACCAAGGACGUUUGUUGCAUAGUAAUGAAGACCUGCGGAGAACAGACGGACUCUCACCACAGUUAUUUCAGGAAUCCGUCCUUCCCUAAGAAUGAUACAGAAGCACGGGUUUGUUCCCUUACUGUGAACGUUAGCAAAGGCAUCUGCGGGGUCAGACUGACCUUGGAGAAGUUCGAACUAGCGAGGUUCUACGGAGGUUCCUGUCUGCACGACGGCCUGACGGUUCUCGGGGCAAAGGGCCCUCCCGUCAGCGCCUUCUGCGGAAACAUGACCAACUGGCGCACGUCGUUCGAAGUGGAAGAAAAGACCCAGUUGGUGUUGGCAGCUUUAGUGCAAGGAGACCCGGCGUAUACUUUCAACAUCCGGGUUACUCAGCUGCCGUGUGAGGACAUUCAGACGUUCCAAUCCCCGACCUACGCCGGCGUGUGGAACCCCGACGCCCCGACAUACGUGCGCCCGACCACGGAGCCCGACCCCGAAACCACGACGCUCCCGACCGCCGACGAAACCACCGUCCUAGGGGAAUCCGACGGGGCGGGAUCGAGCGAGGAUCCCGACGGGGCGGGAUCGAGCGAGGAUCCCGACGGGGAGACGCAGCUGGAGGAGGCGGUGGUGGAAGGAGGAGACGAAGAAGGAAGAAGAGGAGGAGAGAGGAGAUGCAGGAGGAGAUGAGGAUGCUGAGGGCGGCCCGACGACCCUCCCGAGGGGGUUGAUUCCUACGCCUUCACAGGCUGAGGUCUCAAUCAAAUCCAACGUAGAUGAGGACGAGGGGAUCUACCUGGAGGUUACCAAUCCCAUCCCACUCGUCUCUGCGGUGAGGGAAGAAUUCGACACCCUGGACCCCAGCUACUGCCAGAGAGGAAGCUUUAGAAUUGUAGGAGGAAGC
rnacentral:misc_RNA from 1 species